CACAUUCAGCAACGGAUAUCUUAGCUCACGCAUCGGCAAAGGACGUAGCUAAAUGCGGUACGCACUGUGAAUUGCAGAUUUUAGUGAAUCAUCAGAUUUCUGAAAGCAUAUGGCCCUGUUGGUAUUCCCCGGCAGCACGUCUGUUUUAGUGUCU
rnacentral:rRNA from 1 species